rnacentral:lncRNA from 1 species
ACAUUUCAGAUACAGCCUGCUCAUGGCAGGAGGAGAUCACGAGGAGUUCACGUUCUCGGUCAACAGUACCAGUGGUUGAGGUUCUGAGAGAGUCUUCGUCCUGCUAUUCUCAGAGGCAGUUCCAACCAAACUCUGCUUUGGACUGGUGAUCUAUGGAGCUUGGGAUGAUUGAGUAUUCUUCCCAGAUAGAAGGAGAUGAGCCAAGAGGGAAGCAAAGGAUACAGUGAUUGGGGGACCUCCUGUGAAAAAGUCUUGGGGAAUGGAAGUUCUGACUCCAGCAUAACAGCUGAAGCUGGGGAUUGGCCUGACCCAGCUCCACUGGGAAAAGGAGCUUUAUUCAUAACUACCCAAACGUGGAAGCAACCGAGAUGUCCCCCAACAGGCAAGAAGAUACAUAAACUGGGAUACAUCAAGGCAAUGGGAACGCCAUUCAGCAACAAAAAGAGAUGAACUACAGAGACAUGAGGAGAACCCCAAAUGCAUAUUACCGGCUGAAAGAAGACAUCUGAAAAGGUCACACACCAUAAACCCCCGUCAUAUAGGAUGCUACGGAGAAGACAAAAGAUUCCCCUGCAAUCCCGGUAGAACACCGAGAUCCCGAGAGAUCCUGCAAGAUCGUGCUGCUUCUGCCAAGAGUGGUUGCAGCAGCAGCGUCUGGGGUCUGAUUCCACCAUUUUCUGAG